CCUACGGGUGGCAGCAGUGGGGAAUAUUGGACAAUGAGCGAAAGCCUGAUCCAGCCAUGCCGCGUGUGUGAAGAAGGCCUUCGGGUUGUAAAGCACUUUCAGUGGGGAAGAAAGCCUUGGGGCUAAUACCCUCGAGGAAGGACAUCACCCACAGAAGAAGCACCGGCUAACUCCGUGCCAGCAGCCGCGGUAAUACGGAGGGUGCGAGCGUUAAUCGGAAUUACUGGGCGUAAAGCGCGCGUAGGCGGUCUGAUAAGCCGGUUGUGAAAGCCCCGGGCUCAACCUGGGAACGGCAUCCGGAACUGUCAGGCUAGAGUGCAGGAGAGGAAGGUAGAAUUCCCGGUGUAGCGGUGAAAUGCGUAGAGAUCGGGAGGAAUACCAGUGGCGAAGGCGGCCUUCUGGACUGACACUGACGCUGAGGUGCGAAAGCGUGGGUAGCAAACAGGAUUAGAUACCCCAGUAGUC
rnacentral:rRNA from 1 species